UGGAGUGUAGCUCAGUAGAGUGCUUGCCUAGCAUGCAUGAGGCCCUGGGUUCAAGUCCCAGCAUCACAC
rnacentral:tRNA from 1 species